rnacentral:rRNA from 1 species
AUGGGGAGGCCGCCGUGCUGCGACAAGUUGGGCGUGAAGAAGGGUCCGUGGACGCCGGAGGAGGACAUCAUCCUGGUCUCCUACAUCCAGGAGCACGGCCCCGGCAACUGGCGGUCUGUGCCGGUGAGCACCGGCCUCAUGCGCUGCAGCAAGAGCUGCCGCCUCCGCUGGACCAACUACCUCCGCCCCGGCAUCAAGCGCGGCAACUUCACAAGCCACGAGGAAGGCGUCAUCGUCCACCUCCAGUCACUCCUCGGCAACAGAUGGGCGGCGAUCGCGUCCUACCUGCCGCGGAGGACGGACAACGACAUCAAGAACUACUGGAACACGCACCUCAAGAAGAAGCUCAGGAAGCAGCAAGCCAUGGGAGCCAUCUUCGCGCCGCCGGCGGCAUCCUCCCCCGGCACAGCAGGCGACAGUUUCGACCACCAGCACCACCAUGACAUGGUCUCCAGGGCCGACGGCUACGGGGCCGGCCAGGCGUACAUGAACACGGAGGUCUCGCAGCUGAUCGCUGGGCGUGGUCACUCGCCGUUCGCCGACGCUGCCGCCGAGGUCUGCUCCUCGUCGUCCUACGCUUCGAGCGUGGACAACAUAUCCAAGCUGCUCGGCGGCUUCAUGAAGAGCUCCCCGCCGCCGCCGCCGCACAGCAACUACGACGGCGACGACGUCAAGCCUCUGCUGCCCUUGGACAGUAUGUCCGGCACCGGCAGCGCCGAGCUGAGCUUCACCGCCAGCGUGCAGCAGCCGGCGUUGAUGGGGGGACGCGUCGCGUACGAGUACGACCACGAGACGAAACAGCAGCAGCAGGCGCCGCUGUCUUCGAUCGAGAAGUGGCUGUUUGAUGAGGCCGCGGAGCUGGAGCUGUCCGAUGAGUGCUACUCCGUUCCAAUGCUGUUCUAG